GACGACCGGCUGGAUACGUCAUGAGAAGAACCGAUGCGUCCGGCCUACAAGUGGAGGCUCCGAUCUCCCACCUGACCGUCCCCCGGGACGGCGGGUCACCCCGGUCAGGCGGUCACCAUCGUUCCGUACGGACGAUGGAGUCGCCCGAAAGCGCGCCCCGCGAUCAUCGCGGCGGUGCUCCGGUAGUGCUUGGAGCCCCGCCUGUGAUCGUCCGGGGCAUUUUUU
rnacentral:ncRNA from 1 species